AAACGAUUGAAGUCAGUCGUGUGAGGGGUAUUCAGCCGUCUCUGACGGUGUAUUUGCCUCUCACGGGUCAACAUCAGUUUGAUUCGGUAGAAAAAGGCGGGAGGAAGGUGGCACCCUCGGGUGUGUUAUAGCCUCCUGUCAUAUGUGCCGGACCAGACUGAGGAACGCAGCUCGCAGCAAUGCCGGGGUUCGCCCACGUUCGAGCUUAGGAUGUUGACAUAAUGGCUUUAAACGA
rnacentral:rRNA from 1 species